UACGUAGGGUGCAAGCGUUGUCCGGAAUUAUUGGGCGUAAAGAGCUCGUAGGCGGUCUGUUACGUCGGCUGUGAAAACCUGGGGCUCAACCCCGGGCCUGCAGCCGAUACGGGCAGACUAGAAUUCGGUAGGGGAGACUGGAAUUCCUGGUGUAGCGGUGAAAUGCGCAGAUAUCAGGAGGAACACCGGUGGCGAAGGCGGGUCUCUGGGGCCGAUAUUGACGCUGAGGAGCGAAAGCGUGGGGAGCGAACAGG
rnacentral:rRNA from 1 species